GUAAAGCACUUUCAGUCGUGAGGAAGGUAGUGUAGUUAAUAGCUGCAUUAUUUGACGUUAGCGACAGAAGAAGCACCGGCUAACUCCGUGCCAGCAGCCGCGGUAAUACGGAGGGUGCGAGCGUUAAUCGGAAUUACUGGGACGUAAAGCGCAUGCAGGUGGUUUGGUUAAGUCAGAUGUGAAAGGACCCGGGGCGUCAACCUACGGAAUAGCAUUUAGAAACUGGCAGACUAGAGUACUGUAGAGGGGGGUAGGAAUUUCAGGUGUAGCGGUGAAAUGCGUAGAGAUCUGAAGGAAUACCGGUGGCGAAGGCGGCCCCCUGGACAGAUACUGACACUCAGAUGCGAAAGCGUGGGGAGCAAACAGGAUUAGAUACCCUGGUAG
rnacentral:rRNA from 1 species